rnacentral:tRNA from 1 species
GAAGAGAUAGCUUGGUGGUUAAGAGCACUGGGUAAUCUUCCAGAGGAUCCAGGUUCAAUUCCUGGUACCUUUA